GAAGAGAGAGUUCAAUAGUACGUGAAACCGUUCGGGGGUAAACGGACAGAGCCCGUGAAUCCGGGCGUCAGUAUUCAGAAGCGAUGGCGGGCGCGCUCGCGAAAGCGGCGCGUUCGUCGUCGUUUUGAUAGUUCUGGCGCCGCGAUACACACACGGACGUCGCGACCCGUUUGGCGUCGGUCUCAGGAGUUUGCGUUUCACGUUCGUUACGCCGUUCCUUGUCGCGGUCUCGGCCGCGGUGAGGGCGCGUUACGAGUACGCGAUCUGAUUCCGGCUGACUCGCCAGACGGUACGCUUCGAUUGGGUGGCCGGUGUCGCCGUUAGGCGCGCGCGACAUCGGUGCCGGUCUGCGACGAAUCUUCGGGCCUCUUUCCGACCCGUCUUGAAACACGGACCAAGGAGUCUAACGUGCGCGCGAGUCGCGGGGUGUCGGGUAGCGGCGCGGUCGUCUUCGGGCGGUCGCGUCGUUGCCCGUUACAAUACGAAACCCGUACAUGUGAAAGGCGCAAUGAAAGUGAAACUGGGGAAGAUGGCGUUACCGAGUACACGUACCGCGGUCUUGUACCGCGGCCGGUCGCCCGCAUUCCCGGGGCGUCCCAACGGCACGUCGGCGUUGCGGACCGUCGUCUUCGGGCGGCGGUCGGGCGUCGACGAACCGGGGCGCACCUACAGCGUGCACGUUGGUACCCGAAAGAUGGUGAACUAUGCCCGGCCAGGAUGAAGUCAGGGGAAACCCUGAUGGAGGUCCGCAGCGAUUCUGACGUGCAAAUCGAUCGUCUGAGCUGGG
rnacentral:rRNA from 1 species